rnacentral:lncRNA from 1 species
AUCAAGAUUUCUACGGCGCACGCCCACACGCCCGUCAUCUAGCAUGCACGUCACCUCAACAUCAAUUACAUAGCAUGUAAUUCGGGGUUUCAUACCCUCAAAAUCAAGUUUAGAAGUGUUACUUACCUCAAACUAUGAAAACUCUACUCCAACAAGCCCUUGCCUCGCGAAACAGCCUCCAAAUGCCUCGAAUCUAGCCACAAUCAGUUCAAUACAAUCACUAUGAGCUAAAUGAAUCAAUUCCAUAAGAAAAUACUAAGUUCUUAAUCAAAAGUCAACUCAAAAGUCGGUCCUCGAGCCCACAUCCCAAAACCUGAUAAAAGUGACAAAAUCCAGAAACCCAUUAAACCACGAGUCCAACAAUACCAAAUUUAUCAAAAUCCAACAACAACUCCCAAUUUAAACUUUGAAAAUCCCUAGCCUCAAACUCCCAAAUUACACCUCAAAACCACACAAUCUAGGUGGGAAAUUCAAUGGGGAAAUAUAAUUACUGAAGAAAUUUGACCACAAGUGACUUAUCUCAAGAAUCCAUUCAAAAUUCCUCUCAAAAAUUGCCUAAGCCUGAGCUUGAAAUGUCCAAAAUGAUGAAAAUCACGGAACCCUCGAUUUUAAUACACUGCCCCAGCCUUUUCGCUUCUGCGGAUAACUGCGAUUCAGCUUUUGCGAAAUUUCCUCCGCUUCUGCGGACAUGCCUCACAGGGCACCCUUCGCUUUGUCGUGCCCCCUUUUUCCUUCCACGGAAUCGGGUUCAUAACAUUUGGUUGGGAAAAUGCUUUCCUUUUGGGAAAAGGGUUUUGCAAUUUUGAAGAGUCGCCACCUAACGAUUUUAAGGUGCGUUAGGACACUUAUAAGGUUCAUUCAUAACAACAUUUGGUAACCAGAGAUAGGAUAAGGGCUUGAAAUUAUCCUAAGGGAACGAUGUUAUGCACCCCUCAGGAUCCAAUAGUGUGGUUCCCGGCCAGACAAUUUUUGUGAAUUUGUGCAAUUAGCAAAUAAACAAGUAUGGCUCAAAUAGUAGGGGGUUUAAGUUUAAAUACACAAGUGUUUGAAAAUAAUUAGUAAAAGGUGAAAUUUUGAAAAGAAUUACAAUCUAAAGCAUGCUUGUGAAUGUAAAGGGGUGUCCUAGGUUUGUUUGUAAUAUGAAUCACAUCAAUGCAAUACCGGUAUGACACUCCUCAAAGAGGGGCUACACAUGGUAUUAGCGCACUGGUCAUUAUAUCCAUAUAUACCCUUUUCUGCCCUGUGAAGGUAAUUAAAGCAAGGGUUGGUCUCGGCCCCUAUUACAUGCUGUUACACGUCCCUUGCUAUCAGUCCCGGAGGAAUUUAGGACUUCUAUCCUAUGAGGGAGGUACUAGGUAGACCCUCAGGUUUAAAAGCAUAAUGCUAGGCGACAAACAAGAACACAUAGGACUGCAUUUAAAGGGAGCAUGGAAGACAAACGAAAGGCUCAAAUAUACCUAUACAUACAGUGCAUAUGAACAACAUGACUCAUACAUAGAUAAGGUCUGAAUUCAGAAUUCUAAAGCAUGGUAUCUAAGUGAUAACAACAGAACCAGAUUUAUUGCAUGACUCAGAAAAGAAGUCUGAAUCAGGCUUGCCUACUAAUUUUAGCAUGCUGGCAACUAAACAAGGACAAUUCUGUUUUUAUUUAAGCAAUUACCUAAGGCUUGCCAGGCGUAAAGCAAUAUGCAGCAGUUAUUCAGAAUUAUUAAAAUAGUUUGGAGAUGGUUUUUACCUAAGAGAAUGAUGUUCUAAUUGAUACGAAUGCAGAGAUUAUUUAUUCAGAAAACAUAACGAUGUGAGAUUAUUUUUAUUACCUUUUCAUGAAUCAGUAAUUAAUAGGAUCCUAUCAUAUCUAAUAUGCAUAUGCGAAUGACAUGAUGGUAAAAAAAACAGAAUCCCUAAGGCAUGAUUUCUAAAUGCACACAAGAGUUGCAGAAUUAUUGAAAUAUGACUUCUGAAAGUACAAGAGUAACAACUUUUAUGCCAAUAUUGUUAUUGUCCUAGGAGCAGGAUUUCUAAGUGAUGGACAUAAAACAUGGAUUAGUGAUGGAUGAGAUGCUGAAGCAAGAAACAUGGGUCCUAAGAUCAUGAUUUGUAAUGCAUGUAUGAACCUAAGCAUGAUUGCUAUUGCGCAAUUAGGAAUAUAAACCUAACAACAUGUUUUCUAUCCUUUAACAACUAUAGCAUGCAUAUUUACCCCAUCCAUUUUCACUAGCCAACCCCAAUACUUGUUAACAAAUUACUACAGACCAACCUUGAAAUGAAAUACAUAAGUAGCAAUGAAAAUAAGAAGUUACACUAUAGGAAGCCUGAUUAGGACUUCCUCUCUGAGUUAUGUAAUCAAUCACCUCAAGUGCCAAGGUUGUUUCAUAGCUUUUCCUCAUAUCUAGGUAUGUUAGAGUUCCCUAAGGAUCUCAAGGGAUCCCGGGUAGUGCUCACACCCAGAAUGCAUAACCAAGAUAGAGUAAGUGUAGUGUGGAAAGGCCAGCUUUUAUGUGUCCAAGUUCAGAGGGAGCUCAAGGGUUCCAAGGCAAGGCUCACACAAAAGGGGCAGAACCUAGUGGUCUAAGAAUAUAUGUGAGAGUGCUUGACAUAGAUUUAAAAGAGUUGAGCUGGAAAACAGUUUUGAAAUAACAUGUUUGAAAUAAGUUUGCAAAACAACAGAACAAUUUUGAAAAUGAGAAGGGAAUAAGAGCAACAAUACCUUGGAACCAGCCAGCACACACACAAAACAAGGUCAAAUAAUAGUACAGUUUCAGAAGUUACAAACAAGGAAGUAGGGGUUGGGGACAUAGAGAGCCCAUAUCAGACAUAAAGCAUGGAUGAGAAGAGAUGCAUAUAGACCAGCAAGUUCAAAGAACAAGUAGGGACUGAUUGGCCUUUAGAACACAAACAGUUACUUCAAAGAGUUAACAAGGGAAUCAUACUUAGAAUUAGAAUAGUAAUAGGACAUAGGAACCGGGUAUGGGAGUAUUCAUGUAGGGGUCUAUUGCACAUAAUUAGUCAUGCCUUAGUGUUAAUCAAGUACAUUAGGAGACAUACUGGUUGAGGGACAUAAAUAGGAACUCAAGUAGACAUGCUGAUUACAUUUGAAUAAGAGAGGGCAGAACUUAAGCAUGCUAAAUAAAGUAGUAAAUAAGAAGUGCAAUUAAACAACAUGAGACAUUAGGUCAGUGCAACGAGAGAUAUGGAUUGACGAACAAUGGAGCACAUAGAGUUGAGUUUCAGAAUUGAACUAGGAAUAUACCAGUUAAAGAAGUAAAGUGUAGAAAAGUAAAGCAAGUAGAGUUCCACAGUCUAGCCUUGGCUUUCAGCCGGCUAGACAAGCAAUAGCACAAGUAGUAGAGAAAGAAGAGAGAGAGUUUGAGUGUGUAUGUGUGUGUUCUUAACUAAUUGUUUGUGUCUUAUGCUAAAGAGAGGGUAAAGUAUUUAUAAAUUGAGAACAGGCAGGAAAAUAAGCUAAUAAGUACCGACUUAGCAUUAUUAUAGAAAUAAUAAUUAGAAUCAAUUAAAGACCCGAACUCUCUUCAAUUAGGGAGUUAUAGUUCAAACGGGUACAAGUUGUAUCAAGUAGAGAAAAGAACUGAUUUUAUCAUAAUAGGAGUAGUAAAAACAUGCAGCAUGUAAUAAGGACUAAGUACGAAAUAUUUUCAAGUAAGGAAAGUAUAUUAACAACAUAUUGUACAUCUAAAUAAGGUAGAGCACAAUUUCAAUUUUGAAAGUCAGUUCAAAGAAUCACGGAUGAGAUGGAAAAUCACAGGGAAUCAGCACUAACUAAGGAAAGUGUCACAAAAAAUAAGGAAGCAAUUUCGAAAAAUCAGUAUAGAAUUACAAGGAAAUACACAAAAUCACAGAUGUAGGUUUAAGGAGAUUACACAAAAUCAAUAUAAUUAUGUUAACAAUCAAUAAAAUAAAUAGUCAGACCUAUUAAACAAUAAAUAACACGUGUUUGGACAAAAUCAAAGAAAUCUUAAGAACAAAUUAGAGCAGGAAGCACAAGAGCAUAUAGAACACACAUGAAGCCUAGAAUGUUCAUGAUAGUCAAGCAAACACAUCGCAAACAGACUCAAAAUUCGAAUCGAACCCAGAAGUAUUAGGGUUUCUUGACAAAAAUGAACGAGCAAAAAGGAAAGACUCAGGUGAUGUUUAAACAUGCUAAAAAUCAAAGUAAUUGCUAAAAUAAGAAAGAAAUUGUUUUUGCAAAAAGGGUUUUGAAACCCUAGUUUAGAAAAUGAAGAAAUUGUUUGAAAUCGGAGAAAUAUUUUGAGGAAAACAGGUGAAAACCUUAAAAAAACCUUAGAUCCAUCACAGAUCUAAAAAGAUCAGAGGAUUUAUAGCUAGGUUUUUCAGAAAAUAUGAGAGACGAAGAAAAAAAUCGGUUAAAAACUUAUGGAUACACCUAGAUCUAAGGAAGAUCUAAAGAAAGUGAAAAAUCUCAAGUGUUAUGGUUUCAGAGAACCCAAACAAGAUGAGAGGACUUUAAAAUGUUACCGGUUUUGGCCAGAAAAGUCAUGGAUAGGAGUUGAACAAGAUCUGGAACUAGAUCACUUCGAGAUAUUUCCACGAAAUCACAAAAACGAGAAAUCGGGAGACGUAGGAGACGAGUAUAUGUCUCAAAUAGCUAUGGGAAUCCAUGGAUCGAGUAAGGAUCGAAGGGAUUAGGGCUAGUUUUGGGUGGUGGAGGCUAGGGUUAUGUUUAGGUCCCAGAGAGGAUUGGAGAGGAAAGGGGAUUCUAGGGAGGCGGUUUGGUAAGAAUGAAUUAGGUUAGGGGGGUCGUUCAGG